rnacentral:rRNA from 1 species
AGUCUCGAUCAUACUAGAUUGAACGCUGCGGGAUGCUUUACACAUGCAAGUCGAACGGCAGCACGGACUUCGGUCUGGUGGCGAGUGGCGCAGUGAGUAAUGUAUCGGAACGUGCCUAUAGUGGGGAUAACUACGCGAAAGCGUAGCUAAUACUGCACACUGCUCCUUCGGGGGAAAGCAACUUUCGGGCCUCGCACUAUUAGAAUGGCCGAUAUCGGAUUAGCUAGUUGGUGGGGUAACGGCUCACCAAGGCGAUUUAUCCGCAGCUGGUUUGAGAGGACGACCAGCCACACUGGACUGAGACACGGCCCAGACUCCUACGGGAGGCGCAGUGGGGAAUUUUGGACAAUGGGGAAACCCUGAUCCAGCCAUCCCGCGUGUGCGAUGAAGGCCUUCGCUGUAAAGCACUUUUGGCAGGAAGAAACGGCACGGGAUAAUACCCCGUGCAACUGACGGUACCUGCAGAAUAAGCACCGGCUAACUACAGCCAGCAGCCGCGGCACGGCAGUAAGCGUUAAUCGGAAUUACUGGGCGCAAAAGCGUGCGCAGGCGGUUCGGAAAGAAAGAUGUGAAAUCCCAGAGCUUAACUUUGGAACUGCAUUUAACUACUGAGCUAGAGUGUGUCAGAGGGAGGUGGAAUUCCGCGUGUAGCAGUGAAAUGCGUAGAUAUGCGGAGGAACACCGAUGGCGAAGGCAGCCUCCUGGGAUAACACUGACGCUCAUGCACGAAAGCGUGGGGAGCAAACAGGAUUAGAUACACCCGGUAGUCCACGCCUCAAACGAUCAAUCCGUUGGGGCCUUCGGGCCUUGGCAGAAGGCAGCUAACGCGUGAAGUUGACCGCCUGGGAGUACGGUCGCAAGAUUAAAACUCAAAGGAAUUGACGGGGACCCGCACAAGCGGUGGAUGAUGUGGAUUGAAUUGAUGCAACGCGAAAACCUUACCUACCCUUGACAUGUCUGGAAUCCCGAAGAGAUUUGGGAGUGCUCGCAAGAGAACCGAACACAGGAAGCAUGGCUGUCGCCGGCUCGUGUCGUGAGAUGUUGGGUUAAGUCUCACAACGAGCGCAACCUUGUCAUUAGUUGCUACGAAAGGGCACUCAUCGUGAGACUGCCGGUGACAAACCGAGGAAGGUGGGGAUGACGUUUGUCCUCAUGGCCCUUAUGGGUAGGGCUUCACACGUCAUACAAUGGUCGGGACAGAGGGUCGCCAACCCGCGAGGGGGAGCCGCCUUCAAUCCCAGAACCCGAUCGUAGUCCGGAUCGCAGUCUGCAACCUGACUGCGUGAAGUCGGAAUCGCUAGUAAUCGCGGAUCAGCAUGUCGCGGUGAAUACGUUCCCGGGUCUUGUACACACCGCCCGUCACACCAUGGGAGUGGGUUUUACCAGAAGUAGUUAGCCUAACCGUAAGGAGGGCGAUUACCACGGAUUCAUGACUGGGGUGAAGUCGUAACACCGCUGCAG